CAGCCGCCGCGGGAAUACGUAGGUCCCGAGCGUUGUCCGGAUUUAUUGGGCGUAAAGGGAGCGCAGGCGGUUUAGUAAGUCUGAAGUUAAAGGCAUUGGCUCAACCAAUGUAUGCUUUGGAAACUGUUAGACUUGAGUGCAGAAGGGGAGAGUGGAAUUCCAUGUGUAGCGGUGAAAUGCGUAGAUAUAUGGAGGAACACCGGUGGCGAAAGCGGCUCUCUGGUCUGUCACUGACGCUGAGGCUCGAAAGCGUGGGUAGCGAACAGGAUUAGAUACCCCAGUAGUCCCUGUCUCUUAUACA
rnacentral:rRNA from 1 species